AGAUGCAUGAAACACCAGAGUGCUACACUGUCCCCACAAAAAUACAAAUUUGAUAUAAAGACUAUCAAAGUUGGCUCAUUUGUGGAGACAGCCCCUCUCAACCCAACCCAUGUGAACGACAGGCAACCAGUGAAAAUCACCGCCAUAUGGGCUACCAUCUCAGAUAAUCCGCUGGUCCUGUUUG